ensembl:processed_transcript Gm15344 predicted gene 15344
UGGCAAACCAUGCCUGGCUUUCUAAGACUUAGGUUCUACGUAAAGAAAACUGCUGUAUAUUUUCUAUCUAACAUUGUAACGCCAUUUAAAACCCAACUGUCAGUGUCAGGAAAGUUACUGACCAUUCAGCACUUACUGCAUUGACAGUGUAGUUCUGGCCUUUGGGAGCAUCAAACUGUUGGGAUGACUCUCAGCAGUGCCCUAAGCCCUAGAUGGAUUUGUGGUAUAUCUGGCCUUGGAAGAUGCUAAUGAGCAUGAGUGUGUAUAGAACGUACAGGAAAUUUAAUUGGAAUUAAUUUAAAAAUAAGUGAAUUUUUAGGGACCCAUACUGGUAAAGGCUUAUGGAGAUAGAAUAGAAAGAAUGCUUCGCCUCAGUUUAAACAUUGACCCUGAAGCACAGGUUUGUGUGUGCCCUUAACUCUA